rnacentral:rRNA from 1 species
AACGAACGCUGGCGGCAGGCCUAACACAUGCAAGUCGAGCGCCCCGCAAGGGGAGCGGCGGACGGGUGAGUAACGCGUGGGAACGUACCUUUUGCUUCGGAAUAGCCUCGGGAAACUGGGAGUAAUACCGAAUGUGCCCUAUGGGGGAAAGAUUUAUCGGCAAAAGAUCGGCCCGCGUUGGAUUAGGUAGUUGGUGGGGUAAUGGCCUACCAAGCCGACGAUCCAUAGCUGGUUUGAGAGGAUGAUCAGCCACACUGGGACUGAGACACGGCCCAGACUCCUACGGGAGGCAGCAGUGGGGAAUCUUAGACAAUGGGCGCAAGCCUGAUCUAGCCAUGCCGCGUGGGCGAUGAAGGCCUUAGGGUUGUAAAGCUCUUUCGUGGGGGAAGAUAAUGACUGUACCCCAAGAAGAAGCCCCGGCUAACUCCGUGCCAGCCGCCGCAGUAA